CCUCAUUAAAAGACUGAUUAUUUGAUUGAUACCUAAAGAAGUGACUAACCUCGCUGUGUGUCUUGAUUCUCUCCAGCUCACUAGCAUUAAUUUGAUCAUUCAUAUCAAAACAUUAAUCAGCUGUCUUUAAAAGACUAUAGUGGCUUUUUUUUUAGACAAAUAAAGACUACCAAAAUCUUUUACUCUGUCUAAAACACAAUACAAAACAACAGUUAUUAAGGAACAAUAAUUCAUCCCAAACAUUGGAGAUCAAAUCUCAUAAUAAUCAAAUGCAAUCUGUUUUUAAGUUAGAAAACCAGCUACAUUUACUAAGUAGAGUAUGUACUGCUAGCUUUGCAAACUCGUAACAAUGCAUUUCUCUUUAUUCAUUAAAGGGGUAGUGCUGUAUAUUUUCCAGGCUAUUUUAUAGAACAAUAAAGUAACAAUGUUACCUUAUGUUAUAAAAAUGCUUCAUAGUCUCUUUCAAGCAGGAUGAA